GCCAGGCACGGUGGCACGUGCCUGUAGUCCCAGCUACUUGGGAGGCUAAGGCGGGAGAAUCACUUGAGCCCAGGAGGUUAAGCCUGCAGUGAUUGCACCACUAGACUCCAGCCUGGGCAACAAAGUGAGACUCUGCCUCUU
rfam:Gorilla gorilla gorilla genomic chromosome, chr7, whole genome shotgun sequence